UAUACUUAGAAAAUCAAAAAAUUUAAUUUCUAAACCAAUAAUUUAAACCCUAAAAAAACUAUACUUUUUUUUUUCAAAACCCCAAAAAUACCCCCAAACUAAAACUAUCUCUCUUUCUCUCUCUAUCUAGCCGGUCCCAAGAAUCCCACACCCCAGGUCCGAUGGUCGGACCAUGGGGUCCGAUGGGGUCCGACCAAUCGGACCCAUCGGACCCCAAGGUCCGACCAUCGGACCUCUCUCUUCCCCUCUCUCUCAAAUCGCAAAAAAAAAAAAAAAAAAAAAUUAAAGCCGGUCGGACCUUCUGGUCCGACCAUCGGACCCUUUCUUCCUCUCUCUCCAAAAUCGCAGAAAAAAAAAAAAAAAAUUAAAAAGACGGUCGGACCUUUGUCUUCUUCCCUCUCUCAAAUCGCAGGAAAAAAAAAAAAAAGUUUCAGAGACUGGG